rnacentral:ncRNA from 1 species
CAACUUGAGAGUUUGAUCCUGGCUCAGAACGAACGCUGGCGGCAGGCUUAACACAUGCAAGUCGAGCGAGGACUUCGGUCCUAGCGGCGGACGGGUGAGUAACGCGUGGGAACGUGCCCUUUGCUACGGAAUAGUCCUGGGAAACUGGGUUUAAUACCGUAUGUGCCCUUCGGGGGAAAGAAUUUCGGCAAAGGAUCGGCCCGCGUUGGAUUAGGUAGUUGGUGGGGUAAUGGCCUACCAAGCCGACGAUCCAUAGCUGGUUUGAGAGGAUGAUCAGCCACACUGGGACUGGCCCAGACUCCUACGGGAGGCAGCAGUGGGGAAUCUUAGACAAUGGGGGCAACCCUGAUCUAGCCAUGCCGCGUGAGCGAUGAAGGCCUUAGGGUUGUAAAGCUCUUUCGCUGGGGAAGAUAAUGACGGUACCCAGUAAAGAAGCCCCGGCUAACUCCGUGCCAGCAGCCGCGGUAAUACGGAGGGGGCUAGCGUUGUUCGGAAUUACUGGGCGUAAAGCGCGCGUAGGCGGAUUGGAAAGUUGGGGGUGAAAUCCCGGGGCUCAACCCCGGAACUGCCUCCAAAACUAUCAGUCUGGAGUUCGAGAGAGGUGAGUGGAAUUGCGAGUGUAGAGGUGAAAUUCGUAGAUAUUCGCAGGAACACCAGUGGCGAAGGCGGCUCACUGGCUCGAUACUGACGCUGAGGUGCGAAAGUGUGGGGAGCAAACAGGAUUAGAUACCCUGGUAGUCCACACCG